rnacentral:rRNA from 1 species
AGAGUUUGAUCCUGGCUCAGAAUCAACGCUGGCGGCGUGCCUCAUACAUGCAAGUCGAACGCGAAAGCGGCCUUCGGGCCGCAAGUAGAGUGGCAGACGGGUGAGUAACGCGUGGGUGACCUACCUUCGAGUGGGGGACAACCUUCCGAAAGGGAGGCUAAUACCGCAUGACAUCCCGCCCUUGGAUGGGCGGCGAUCAAAGCCGGGGAUCUUCGGACCUGGCGCUUGUAGACGGACCCGCGUCCGAUUAGCUUGUUGGUAGGGUAGCGGCCUACCAAGGCGACGAUCGGUAGCCGGCCUGAGAGGGCGGACGGCCACACUGGGACUGAGAUACGGCCCAGACUUCUACGGGAGGCAGCAGUAGGGAAUNGUUCGCAAUGGGCGAAAGCCUGACGACGCAACGCCGCGUGGAGGACGAAGACCUUCGGGUUGUAAACUCCUGUCGACGGGAAGAACUGCCCGCGGGUCAAUACCCCGUGGGUUUGACGGUACCGCUAGAGGAAGCCCCGGCUAACUCCGUGCCAGCAGCCGCGGUAAUACGGGGGGGCAAGCGUUGUUCGGAUUUACUGGGCGUAA